UCUGUAAAAGAACUCAUGGGUGUGGCUGUGUGUCGUAUGUGCGUCAGUAGGAGGCAGAGAGGAGAGAGGCUGUGCCUACGCCCAGUGUUCUGACCUGUGAACAUCUGAAUGAUUAGUAGCCUAACGUU
ensembl:snoRNA